UAAGUCGUGAGGGUGGAGUGCUCAUGGAUGGGAUUAGUGCUCUUAUAAGAAGAGGCCAGAAAGCUAGCUCACUCUCUUCCCACCAUGUGAGGACACAGCAAGGAGACCGCCCUCUGUAAACAAGGAAGAGGGCACGCACCCAGAACCUGACCAAGCUGGCAUGCAGCUCUCUGACUGGCGGCCUCCAGAACUGUGGCAUAGCUGAGGCAUGGAGAAGCGGUGUGACUUGCCCAAGGUCACGGAAGUGGGAGCAGAGCACAGAUUUGAAUCCACACCCUCUGCCCAGAGCCUGAAGCCUUAACCACUUGACGGCCCCGCCUGCUGGGACUGAGGAAAACCGAAGCAGAGGUCCAAAAUGAAGGGGAUGAAAGAGCACACUUGGCUGUCAUGGAUCCUGUGAAGAUAAGAACAGUCCAGCAGAUGAUUGGGCAGUUUACAAAUACAAAUCUUGGCUAAACAGAAUAGCUGGUGAUUUGGCAUAAGCGUUUUAGAAUUCAUCCUAUUCAUAUUUUAUCUGUAUCAUUUUCUAGUAAGCCUUCACUUUUCCUAGACAUACGUACCUUGUUGCCUCAUCAGAGGUGGAGAAAAAAAGUUUCAAGAAAAAGAUUAUAAAUGAGAAAUAUUUUUAAACCUUGGAAAUGGUCUGCAAAGCGAAUAUUCUGUCACUUUAUGAAAAUAUGAAUCUUAAGUUUACAUUUAUCAAGGCAUGUUCAUGUCAAGCUGUAAACCAACCUACCUCUGAGCUUUGAAUUAAUUCACCAUUCAUGCUGAUGAAAUUCUCUACUUUUAGUUGCUGUGACAUAUUCUCUAGUAGCUUUUUCCAGUCUUCUCCCACCAACACCAUAUUUAAGACCCACUUGAGGUAAAUACAUUUCAGCCAAAAUCUUUUC